UGCGUAGGUGGUUUCGUAAGUAAGGUGUGAAAGCCCUCGGCUUACCCGGGGAAUUGCGCCUUAUACUGCGUGACUUGAGGAUUUCAGGGGAAAGGGGAACUCCAGGUGUAGCGGUGAAAUGCGCAGAUAUCUGGGGGAAGGCCGGCGGCGAAGGCGCCUUUCUGGGAAAUUCCUGACACUGAGGCACGAAAGCGUGGGGAGCAAACAGGAUUAGAUACCCUGGUAGUCCACGCCCUAAACGAUGGAUACUAAGUAGGGGACCCUGCAAGGGGUUCCUUGCCGGAGCAAAAGCGUUAAGUAUCCCGCCUGGGGAGUAUGGUCGCAAGGCUGAA
rnacentral:rRNA from 1 species